CGGCUGGUGGUGAUGGAACAGAACCUGUUCUAAAAGAGGAAACGGCUGGUGGUGAUGGAACAGAACCUUUUCUAAAAGAGGAAACGGCUGGUGGUGAUAGAACAGAACCUGUUCUGAAAGAGGAAAUGGCUAGUGGUGAUGGAACAGAACCUGUUCUAAAAGAGGAAACGGCUGGUGGUGAUGGAACAGAACCUGUUCUAAAAGAGGAAACGGCUGGUGGUGAUGGAACAGAACCUGUUCUAAAACAGGAAAUGGCUAGUGGUGAUGGAACAGAACCUGUUCUAAAAGAGGAAACGGCUGGUGGUGAUGGAACAGAACCUGUUCUAAAAGAGGAAACGGCUGGUGGUGAUGGAACAGAACCUGUUCUAAAAGAGGAAACGGCUGGUGGUGAUGGAACAGAACCUGUUCUAAAAGAGGAAAUGGCUAGUGGUGAUGGACUGAGGAGAUGCAUCUGAAAAGUUCUAAAACAGGAACUGUGUGUGUGUGUGUGUGUGUGUGUGUCGACUGAUUAUGGACAGCUGUGAGAGUCUAGGUUGGAACCCUGGAGGUAGAAACAACCCUUCUCUCUGACUCUGAACUCAACUCCCAGAAUGAGUCUAGACAGACAGACGGAGGGAACCGGCCCCAUGAUACAAGAGACUGGACUCAUGAACCACACAGACAGAUUGACAUAUGGAUAUUAUCUCCUGUUUGUAGCCACUAUCUCCAUUUCAAAGAGAUCUACUGAAGAGACUAUUACAGAGAGAGAGAGAAACCAUACAUUUCCUUUAUUUGUGACUAUUGGGCCGAGCAGAACCAAGGAUAGCAUGUGUGUUUCAGCUGCUGGUUCUGUUUCGGUUUACAGAUGCUGAAAUUGCCCAUAAGCUAUUUUUUGAAUACACAAACCUUCUCAUUAAAAAACACACACACACACACACACACACACAAACACACACACACACACAUAAUGCUCAUCAUGUAGGAAUUGGAUCCCAGGAAAGUAUUCUGCCAUCUUGACAGAUACCUGAACAAGGAACAUGUUUACUUCACCUGUGUGUUUUGUGUACCUCCUAAAGACAUAUAAAUAUCAUUUUUAAUGUGGACAUUUCAGACAUUGGACAGAAUAGCACAAAAAGAACCCUGUAAGAUGUUGACCACGUUAAGCUCAAUAUGUAUUCAUUCUAUGCUAAGUUUUCUGUUCUGCUGAUGCCUAACCGUGAGUUCAUAACACUGAACUCAGAAGUGCAUCUCGAUUUACAUGUUUUGUGUCUUUCUGUUCUUGAGAAAAGGUGUGAUGCUUUAGAAACACACUGUGAUUGUCAGUCUGUAGGAUAUGUCUAUGGUGUUGGUUUAGGUGAGUCUUUGGUUCAAUUGAAAUAUUGGUCCUUGUGUAUCUGAAGAAGCUGCAGUGUUCAGAACGACCUGCAGGGGUCUCCCUCCCACUGAGAAACACUAGAUCUGUCCUAUAGAACAGGACUGGCCAGUAUUCUAAAAGAGGGCCGGUGUGGGUGCAGGCUUUUGCCCCAGCCAAGCAGUAACACACCUGAUUCUAUAUCUGGUGGAUGUUAUCGUUGGAUGCUGAUGCAACACCACACACAUCUUUAAAUGCAGUGUUAACCUACAGCAGGGUUUCCCAGUGGUGUAGUAGGAGCUACACGGAGGUAUACACCCUAAACCCCACAGAUGUUUAAACAGAGGUGUAGGAGGUAUACGCUCUAAACCCCACAGAGGUUUAAACAGUGGUGUAGUAGGAGCUACACGGAGGUAUACGCCCUAAACCCCACAGAGGUUUAAACAGUGGUGUAGUAGGAGCUACACGAAGGUAUACACCCUAAACCCCACAGAGGUUUAAACAGAGGUGUAGGAGGUAUACACCCUAAACCCCACAGAGGUUUAAACAGAGGUGUAGGAGGUAUACACCCUAAACCCCACAGAGGUUUAAACAGUGGUGUAGUAGGAGCUACACGAAGGUAUACACCCUAAACCCCACAGAGGUUUAAACAGAGGUGUAGGAGGUAUACACCCUAAACCCCACAGAGGUUUAAACAGAGGUGUAGGAGGUAUACACCCUAAAGCCCACUGAGGUUUAAACAGUGGUGUAGUAGGAGCUACACAGAGGUAUACACCCUAAACCCCACAGAGGUUUAAACAGUGGUGUAGUAGGAGCUACACAGAGGUAUACACCCUAAACCACACAGAGGUUUAAACAGUGGUGUAGUAGGAGCUACACAGAGGUAUACACCCUAAACCCCACUGAGGUUUAAACAGUGGUGUAGUAGGAGCUACACAGAGGUAUACACCCUAAACCCCACUGAGGUUUAAACAGAGGUGUAGGAGGUAUACGCUCUAAACCCCACAGAGGUUUAAACAGUGGUGUAGUAGGAGCUACACAGAGGUAUACGCUCUAAACCCCACUGAGGUUUAAACAGUGGUGUAGUAGGAGCUACACAGAGGUAUACACCCUAAACCCCACUGAGGUUUAAACAGAGGUGUAGGAGGUAUACGCUCUAAACCCCACAGAGGUUUAAACAGUGGUGUAGUAGGAGCUACACAGAGGUAUACGCUCUAAACCCCACUGAGGUUUAAACAGUGGUGUAGUAGGAGCUACACAGAGGUAUACACCCUAAACCCCACUGAGGUUUAAACAGUGGUGUAGUAGGAGCUGCACGGAGGUACAGUGCCUUGCGAAAGUAUUCGGCCCCCUUGAACUUUGCGACCUUUUGCCACAUUUCAGGCUUCAAACAUAAAGAUAUAAAACUGUAUUUUUUUGUGAAGAAUCAACAACAAGUUGGACACAAUCAUGAAGUGGAACGAUAUUUAUUGGAUAUUUCAAACUUUUUUAACUAAUCAAAAACUGAAAAAUUGGGCGUGCAAAAUUAGUCAUUAUGUGCUGUUUUUGAAUGAACAUUUCCAAAUGCUUUCCCAAGGAAAACUUUCAAAUGGAAGCUGCCAUAUGUAACUUUGUGCAACCAAACAAGUUCACAUAGAAAUGUGAAAACGUAUUGCAGAGGUUGAGAUUGUACAAAGACUAUACAAUUACUUAUUGUUUUGUCACAAACUGAAAUUAGGUGAACUUUGAAUUUUAGCAACCAGGAAAUGGUGGAGCUAUUUCUGUAUAGUGCAUCUUUAAAUGUUGACUACAAAUUAGGCCUACAUGAUAUAAUUAUGAUUGUAUCAAUCUGGAGGGCAUUUCUUUUGAAAACUCUGCAAUCACAUGUACUCUACUGUAGGCCUACAUUGUAGAGUACAGACACUGCGAGCCACAUGGUAUUUGGCUAGUUGCUUAAUUAUUUUAAAGGGCAACUAGACCCUCCCAAAAAUAGUAUUUUAUAUUUUUCCCAGACCUAAAAAAUGGUCUCCUUGUGCGGUAUAAGCAUUGAUGUGGGCUUAACAUGCAUUUGUUGUUUUUCUAUGAAAGAUUUUUCUGGCAAAAUGAUGGUGUACUCACUUCUCCAGGCACCGCUACACCAAUGGGUUUUCCUGUAUCUGUGAGUGAUUUGAUUUGGGACCUGAAUCUCCAACAGGCUUAGGCUGUUACGCAAUGGAUCAUCAUGUCUCACUCCCAUAGGCUGCUUCACUUGUCAAUCAUGUCUCUGCUAUCUUGCCCUGUAAUCUGUGAUAUCUCUCUCUCAAACACUCCUCUGUCUCUCAUCGUCAACUCUUUAUUUAAGAUAUUAAGCAAGCUCUACUUCUCUUAUCCUACAGUAUCUUCACCUGUCUGACAAAUCAAGCAAAUGAGAAAAUAAAACAAUCUGAAGAGAACCACACAGGGUUGAAUUGAUGAAAGCUGAAGUCAUUUAGUAAUUUAACUUGUUGACUUAUUGUAAUGAAUUGUAACAUUAUUUUAAAUGAAAUGAUUUAUUAAUGCAAAACAUUGAUGUCUUCUCGCCUUUGGUGUCUCCAACUCUAAUCUCAAUUACCCAGUUUCUAGUGCCCAAGAAUGGAAAGUGUGUGUGGGGGGGCACUUGACACCAGACUGUGUUUGUGUUUGUCCAUCGAUUAUUUCAUUGAUAAACACCCUGGUAGAUAUCAGGUGAUGAAGAGAUAAUAAUGUUGUUCCACUGAAGCCAAAU
ensembl:lncRNA